CCCCGUCAAUUCCUUUGAGUUUCAUUCUUGCGAACGUACUCCCCAGGUGGGAUACUUAUAACUUUCGCUUAGCCACUGAAUCCGAAAACCCAACAGCAAGUAUCCAUCGUUUACGGCGUGGACUACCAGGGUAUCUAAUCCUGUUCGCUCCCCACGCUUUCGUCCAUCAGCGUCAGUUGAUGUUUAGUCACCUGCCUUCGCAAUUGGUGUUCUGCGUAAUAUCUAAGCAUUUCACCGCUACACUACACAUUCCAGCAACUUCAACAUCACUCAAGACUAACAGUAUCAAUGGCAGUUUCAUAGUUAAGCUAUGAGAUUUCACCACUGACUGAUUAAUCCGCCUACGGACCCUUUAAACCCAAUAAAUCCGGAUAACGCUUGCACCCUCCGUAUUACCGCGGCUGCUGGCACGGAGUUAGCCGGUGCUUAUUCUUCUGGUACCUUCAGCUACUCACACGUGAGUAGGUUUAUCCCCAGAUAAAAGUAGUUUACAACCCAUAAGGCCGUCAUCCUACACGCGGGAUGGCUGGAUCAGGCUUCCACCCAUUGUCCAAUAUUCCUCACUGCUGCCUCCCGUAGGAGUCUGGUCCGUGUCUCAGUACCAGUGUGGGGGUUCACCCUCUCAGGCCCCCUAAAGAUCAUCGUCUUGGUGAGCCGUUACCUCACCAACUAACUAAUCUUACGCAUGCCUAUCCUACUGCGAUAAAUCUUUCAAAAUCUAAUGAUGCCAUUAAAUCUGUUAUAAAGUAUUAAUCCUCCUUUCGAAGGGCUAUCCUUUUCAGUAGGGCAAGUUGCAUACGCGUUACGCACCCGUGCGCCGGUCUCUAGUUCCCGAAAGAACUAUACCCCUCGGCUUGCAUGUGUUAAGCCUCCCGCUAGCGUUCAUCCUGAGCCAUGAUCAAACUCAAUCACUAGUGCGGCCGCCUGCAGGUCGACCAUAUGGGAGAGCUCCCAACGCGUUGGAUGCAUAGCUUGAGUAUUCUAU
rnacentral:rRNA from 1 species